rnacentral:rRNA from 1 species
UACGGGGGGGGCAAGCGUUGUUCGGAAUUACUGGGCGUAAAGGGCUCGUAGGUGGCCAACUAAGUCAGACGUGAAAUCCCUCGGCUUAACCGGGGAACUGCGUCUGAUACUGGAUGGCUUGAGGUUGGGAGAGGGAUGCGGAAUUCCAGGUGUAGCGGUGAAAUGCGUAGAUAUCUGGAGGAACACCGGUGGCGAAGGCGGCGACCUGGUCCGAUACUGACGCUGAGGCGCGAAAGCGUGGGGAGCAAACGGG